UACAGAGGUCUCAAGCGUUGUUCGGAUUCAUUGGGCGUAAAGGGUGUGUAGGUGGCGCCGUAAGUCGGGUGUGAAAUUUCGGAGCUUAACUCCGAAACUGCAUUCGAUACUGCGGUGCUUGAGGACUGGAGAGGAGACUGGAAUUCAUGGUGUAGCAGUGAAAUGCGUAGAUAUCUGGAGGAACACCGGUGGCGAAGGCGGCAUCCUGGACCAAUUCUGACACUGAGGAGCGAAAGCCAGGGGAGCAAACGGG
rnacentral:rRNA from 1 species